GACGAACGCUGGCGGCGUGCCUAAUACAUGCAAGUAGAACGCUGAAGGAGGAGCUUGCUCUUCUGGAUGAGUUGCGAACGGGUGAGUAACGCGUAGGUAACCUGCCUGGUAGCGGGGGAUAACUAUUGGAAACGAUAGCUAAUACCGCAUAACAGUAGAUGUUGCAUGACAUUUGCUUAAAAGGUGCAAUUGCACCACUACCAGAUGGACCUGCGUUGUAUUAGCUAGUUGGUGGGGUAACGGCUCACCAAGGCGACGAUACAUAGCCGACCUGAGAGGGUGAUCGGCCACACUGGGACUGAGACACGGCCCAGACUCCUACGGGAGGCAGCAGUAGGGAAUCUUCGGCAAUGGACGGAAGUCUGACCGAGCAACGCCGCGUGAGUGAAGAAGGUUUUCGGAUCGUAAAGCUCUGUUGUAAGAGAAGAACGAGUGUGAGAGUGGAAAGUUCACACUGUGACGGUAUCUUACCAGAAAAGGACGGCUAACUACGUG
rnacentral:rRNA from 1 species